rnacentral:rRNA from 1 species
AGUGAACGCUGGCGGUAGGCCUAACACAUGCAAGUCGAACGGCAGCACAGUAAGAGCUUGCUCUUACGGGUGGCGAGUGGCGGACGGGUGAGGAAUACAUCGGAAUCUACUUUUUCGUGGGGGAUAACGUAGGGAAACUUACGCUAAUACCGCAUACGACCUACGGGUGAAAGCAGGGGAUCUUCGGACCUUGCGCGAUUGAAUGAGCCGAUGUCGGAUUAGCUAGUUGGCGGGGUAAAGGCCCACCAAGGCGACGAUCCGCAGCUGGUCUGAGAGGAUGAUCAGCCACACUGGAACUGAGACACGGUCCAGACUCCUACGGGAGGCAGCAGUGGGGAAUAUUGGACAAUGGGCGCAAGCCUGAUCCAGCCAUACCGCGUGGGUGAAGAAGGCCUUCGGGUUGUAAAGCCCUUUUGUUGGGAAAGAAAAGCAGCAGGUUAAUACCCCGCUGUUCUGACGGUACCCAAAGAAUAAACACCGGCUAACUUCGU